CUCCGGUUGAUCCUGCCGGACCUGACUGCUAUCGGAUUGGUACUAAGCCAUGCGAGUCGUUGUAGCAAUACAAGGCGGACGGCUCAGUAACACGUAGUCAACCUAACCUAUGGACGUGGAUAACCUCGGGAAACUGAGAAUAAACCGCGAUAGAUCAUUAUGCCUGGAAUGGCUUAUGGUUCAAACAAUUUAUUGCCGUAGGAUGGGACUGCGGCCUAUCAGCUUGUUGGUGAGGUAAUGGCCCACCAAGGCUAUAACAGGUACGGGCUCUGAGAGGAGAAGCCCGGAGAUGGGUACUGAGACACGGACCCAGGCCCUAUGGGGCGCAGCAGGCGAGAAACCUUAGCAAUGUGCGAAAGCACGACUAGGUUAAUCCGAGUGAUUUCUGUUGAAGAAAUCUUUUGUCAGUCGUAAAACCACAGACGAAUAAGGGGUGGGCAAGUCUGGUGUCAGCCGCCGCGGUAAUACCAGCACCUCGAGUGGUCAGGAGGUUUAUUGGGCCUAAAGCAUCCGUAGCCGGCUACGCAAGUCUCCGGUUAAAUCCAGCUGCUCAACAGAUGGGCUGCCGGAGAUACUACAUAGCUAGGGAGCGGGAGAGGUAGACGGUAUUCUGUGGGUAGGGGUAAAAUCCACUGAUCCAUAGAGGACCACCAGUGGCGAAGGCGGUCUACCAGAACGCGUUCGACGGUGAGGGAUGAAAGCUGGGGGAGCAAACCGGAUUAGAUACCCGGGUAGUCCCAGCUGUAAACGAUGCAAACUCGGUGAUGCAUUGGCUUAUGGCCAAUGCAGUGCCGCAGGGAAGCCGUUAAGUUUGCCGCCUGGGAAGUACGGACGCAAGUCUGAAACUUAAAGGAAUUGGCGGGGGAGCCC
rnacentral:rRNA from 1 species